rnacentral:rRNA from 1 species
UACCAUGGUGGUAACGGGUAACGGGGUGUUAGGGCACGACACCGGAGAGGGAGCCUGAGAAACGGCUACCACAUCCAAGGAUGGCAGCAGGCGCGCAAAUUACCCAAUCCCGAUACGGGGAGGUAGUGACAAUAGAUAACAAUACGGGGUUCUUUAGGAUCUCGUAAUUGGAAUGAGUACAAUUUAAAUCUCUUAACGAGGAACAAUUGGAGGGCAAGUCUGGUGCCAGCAGCCGCGGUAAUUCCAGCUCCAAUAGCGUAUAUUAAAGUUGUUGCAGUUAAAAAGCUCGUAGUUGAAUUUCGGGGUCAGUAGGUCGGUCGUGCCACUGGUAUGAACUGGUUUUACUGAUUCCUCCCUCUUGAAGAACUGUAAUGCCAUUAAUUUGGUGUUGCAGGGAAUCAGGACUGUUACUUUGAAAAAAUUAGAGUGUUUAAGGCAGGCUUUAGCUUGAAUACAUUAGCAUGGAAUAAUGAAAUAGGACGUUUGAUCCUAUUUUGUUGGUUUCUAGGAUUGACGUAAUGAUUAAUAGGGAUAGUUGGGGGCAUUAGUAUUCAAUUGUCAGAGGUGAAAUUCUUGGAUUUAUUGAAGACUAACUACUGCGAAAGCAUUUGCCAAGGAUGUUUUCAUUAAUCAAGAACGAAAGUUAGGGGAUCGAAGACGAUCAGAUACCGUCGUAGUCUUAACCAUAAACUAUGCCGACUAGGGAUCGGAUGAUGUUAAUUUUUUAAUGACUCAUUCGGCGCCUUACGGGAAACCAAAGUGUUU